rnacentral:rRNA from 1 species
UACGUAGGGGGGCUAGCGUUGUCCGGAUUUAUUGGGCGUAAAGAGCGUGUAGGCGGCCAGGUAGGUCUGCUGUGAAAACUCGAGGCUCAACCUCGAGACGUCGGCGGAAACCAUCUGGCUAGAGUCCGGAAGAGGUGCGUAGUACUCUGGUGUAGCGGUGAAAUGCGUAGAUAUCAGGAGGAACACCUGUGGCGAAAGCGGCGCACUGGACCACAACUGACGCUGAGGCGCGAAAGCUAGGGGAGCAAACAGG